rnacentral:lncRNA from 1 species
UUCUACCCGAGCAUUACUGCUUUUAUUUUUAUUUUUCAUUUCCUGUUUUUCAAUCUUCCAGUUCUAGAUGCAGAUCUGAGGCUCAAAACUUUCUAAAUUCACAUCAAAUUAAAAUCCGAUUUUCUUCUUUUUAUUAUGUGUUGUUAAGUUCAAAAUACCCAAAUUUGUUUCGAUAUUUACAAAAAGAUCUGGAUUUAUAAUUUCAGAUCUGUGCUAGUUGACUUAUUUUCUGCUUUGUGCUUUGUUGGAUCUACUACAUAUGAGCAUCUAAUCAACAAAGAUCUGAGUUCUGAUUAGAUGUAUACAUGGGGAUCUUUGUGGUAAAAGUACACGACAUAUUCUUGAGUUUCAGAAUACAAAGAGAUAUGUUUGAAUGUCUCUUUUGGUUUGAUGGAUACACGUAUUCAAAAUUGCUACAAGUUAUGUAGGUUCUUUUGAAAUGCGUUAUGUCCGAUUUGAAAUCCAAAGGCCAUGAAGCAAAAUGUAUCACAUGGAUCAUUAGACAGAUUGCUUUGCCGAAAUGAAUGAAGAUUAAUGCUGGAUGAACUGAAGACAUAAAUGAACUUUCGUAUUAGUAGUUUAAUCUAAAGUUACUUUAAGGCUACUGAAAAAAUUGAAAAAAUUCUUGUGUGUACGAAUUUUAAUUGUAAAAUGAACAUGAUGUUUGCAAUUAUAAAAAAAAAU